rnacentral:rRNA from 1 species
AGAGUUUGAUCAUGGCUCAGAAUGAACGUUGGCGGCGUGGAUUAGGCAUGCAAGUCGAACGAGAUCUGUAGCAAUACAGUGAAAGUGGCGAAGGGGAGAGUAAUACGUAGGUACCUGCCCUCGGGUCUGGGAUAGCUGCGGGAAACUGCAAUUAAUACCGGAUGACGUCUCUGGACCAAAGGUGUGAUUCCGCCAGGGGAUGGGCCUGCGUCCUAUCAGCUAGUUGGUGUGGUAACGGCGCACCAAGGCUAAGACGGGUACGGGGUGUGAGAGCAUGCCCCCGCUCACUGGGACUGAGAUACUGCCCAGACACCUACGGGUGGCUGCAGUCGAGAAUCUUCCGCAAUGGGCGCAAGCCUGACGGAGCGACGCCGCGUGUGGGAUGAAGGCCUUCGGGUUGUAAACCACUGUCAGUGGGGAGCAAGUGCAUCAGGGUUCUCCCUGGUGUUGAGCGAUCCGCAGAGAA